GAUGAACGCUGGCGGCGUGCCUAAUACAUGCAAGUCGAGCGAACAGACGAGGAGCUUGCUCCUCUGACGUUAGCGGCGGACGGGUGAGUAACACGUGUAUAACCUACCUAUAAGACUGGGAUAACUUCGGGAAACCGGAGCUAAUACCGGAUAAUAUAUUGAACCGCAUGGUUCAAUAGUGAAAGACGGUUUUGCUGUCACUUAUAGAUGGAUCCGCGCCGCAUUAGCUAGUUGGUAAGGUAACGGCUUACCAAGGCGACGAUGCGUAGCCGACCUGAGAGGGGGAUCGGCCACAGUGGAACUGAGACACGGUCCAGACUCCUACGGGAGGCAGCAGUAGGGAAGCUUCCGCAAUGGGCGAAAGCCUGCCGGAGCAACGCCGCGUGAGUGAUGAAGGUCUUCGGAUCGUAAAACUCUGUUAUUAGGGAAGAACAAAUGUGUAAGUAACUAUGCACGUCUGGACGGUACCUAAUCAGAAGACCACGGCUAACUACGU
rnacentral:rRNA from 1 species